GGUGAGUAACACGUAUGCAACCUGCCCGUGGCAGGGGGAUAAGCGGGGGAAACCCCGUCUAAUACCGCGUAACGCGGCCUAGGGACAUCCCAAGGCCGCCAAAGGGAGCAAUCCCGGCCACGGAUGGGCAUGCGGCGCAUUAGCUAGUCGGCGGGGUAACGGCCCACCGAGGCGACGAUGCGUAGGGGUUCUGAGAGGAAGGCCCCCCACACUGGUACUGAGACACGGACCAGACUCCUACGGGAGGCAGCAGUGAGGAAUAUUGGUCAAUGGGCGCGAGCCUGAACCAGCCAAGUCGCGUGUGGGAGGACGGCCCUACGGGUUGUAAACCUCUUUUGCCGGGGAGCAACGGGCGCCACGUGUGGCGCCACUGAGAGUACCCGGAGAAAAAGCAUCGGCUAACUCCGUGCCAGCAGCCGCGGUAAUACGGAGGAUGCGAGCGUUAUCCGGAUUUAUUGGGUUUAAAGGGUGCGUAGGCGGAUCGUUAAGUCAGUGGUCAAAUUGAGGGGCUCAACCCCUUCCCGCCAUUGAAACUGGCGAUCUUGAGUGGAAGAGAAGUAUGCGGAAUGCGUGGUGUAGCGGUGAAAUGCAUAGAUAUCACGCAGAACCCCGAUUGCGAAGGCAGCAUGCCGGCUUCCUACUGACGCUGAAGCACGAAAGCGUGGGGAUCGAACAGGAUUAGAUACCCUGGUAGUCCACGCGGUAAACGAUGAGCGCUAGGUGUC
rnacentral:rRNA from 1 species